rnacentral:rRNA from 1 species
GAUGAACGCUGGCGGCGUGCUUAACACAUGCAAGUCGAACGGUGAACACGGAGCUUGCUCUGUGGGAUCAGUGGCGAACGGGUGAGUAACACGUGAGCAACCUGCCCCUGACUCUGGGAUAAGCGCUGGAAACGGCGUCUAAUACUGGAUAUGUGACGUGACCGCAUGGUCUGCGUUUGGAAAGAUUUUUCGGUUGGGGAUGGGCUCGCGGCCUAUCAGCUUGUUGGUGAGGUAAUGGCUCACCAAGGCGGCGACGGGUAGCCGGCCUGAGAGGGUGACCGGCCACACUGGGACUGAGAGACGGCCCAGACUCCAACGGGAGGCAGCAGUGGGGAAUAUUGCACAAUGGGCGCAAGCCUGAUGCAGCAACGCCGCGUGAGGGAUGACGGCCUUCGGGUUGUAAACCUCUUUUAGCAGGGAAGAAGCGAAAGUGACGGUACCUGCAGAAAAAGCGCCGGCUAACUACGUG